UACGUAGGGGGCUAGCGUUGUCCGGAUUUAUUGGGCGUAAAGAGCGUGUAGGCGGCCAUGUAGGUCCGGUGUGAAAACUCGAGGCUUAACCUCGAGAUGUCAGCGGAAACCAUUUGGCUAGAGUCCGGAAGAGGAGAGUGGAAUUCCUGGUGUAGCGGUGAAAUGCGCAGAUAUCAGGAAGAACACCAAUGGCGAAAGCAGCUCUCUGGGACGGUACUGACGCUGAGACGCGAAAGCGUGGGGAGCGAACAGG
rnacentral:rRNA from 1 species